CCACCAUCAUGGAAUAUUAAUCACAUAAUAUGUCACUGAAUACUCAAGAAGAUGACCUUAGGCAAAGCUUGCAUUCAUCACAUAUUUCACCACUGAACACUUAAGAAGAUGUCCUUGGGCAGAGCUCCACCAUCAUGGAAUAUUAAUCACAUAAUUUGUCACUGAUUACUCAAGCAGAUGACCUUAGGCAAAGCUUGCAUUCUUCACAUAUUUCUCCACU